GGGGGUGACCCCGGUUUCGACGUGGGUUACAAAGCAGUGCAGGGGCAUACCGAGGACCAGUCACCUCGUAAAACAACUGGAAAAAGUAUAGUCGCAAACGACGAAACUUACGCUCUAGCCGCUUAAUACCGGCUGGACGCUGCACCGAAGGGCCUUCGGUCGGGCAGGGCAACCUGCAGCAGCGUCAUAAAGAGAGGAUCGUGCCGUACCGGGUUACUUGAUACAGCAUUAAAUCCAAGGUAACUCGCCUUGCCUCAGCCUGCCGGUUGACGGUUGCAAGGUCAAAUCAAAUAACCAGGCUAAGUAUGUAGAACUGUCUGUAGAGGGCUUGCGGACGGGGGUUCGAUUCCCCCCACCUCCACCA
rnacentral:tmRNA from 1 species